ACUCACUCACUAUCAUGAGAACCAGAUGGGGAAAACUGCCCCCAUGAUUAAAUUAUCUCCACCUGGGGAUAAUCCCAUGUGAGGAUUAUGGAAACUACAAUUCAAGAUGAGAUUUGGGUGGGGACAUAGUCAAACAAUAUCAGAUGUAAUUCACAUCCCAUCGACUUCCCUCAUUUAAGGAAUACAAUUCAACAGAUUUUAGUAAAUUCAGUGUUCUGCAUACACCACCACAGUCAACCUGGGAACUUUCUUAUUAUCCCCAAAGAAACCCUUCACCUCUAGUCAUUACCCCCAAACUCCUCAGUCCCCCUGAUUCUCCCCCACAGUCCUUGGCAACCACAAAUCUCCUUUCUGUCUCUAUGCAUUUGCAUAUUCUGGACAUUUCACAUAAACCGAAUCAUAGAAUAGGAGGCCCUUUGUAUCUGGCUUUCUUCACUCUUAGCAUGAUGUUCUCAAGAUGCAUCCAUACUGUGGUGUGGAUCAACGCUUCCUUCUUUUAAGGGCUAUGUGUAAUAUCCUGCUGUAGGGAUGCCUCACAUUUAAGAGGUGCAUAGUUUUGAAAUAGGCUCCACGUGUUUAUGAAGGAGCUGCAAAGUCAAAUUACAAGGAGCGUGGAUACAGAAAGGGGGAGAAUUGAGGCCAUUUUGGCAAACCGUCUACCCAGCAGAAUCAGUUCAUUUACGGCUCUUUGCUUGCAUUGAUUUUGUUACAGGUGACGAUGUUCCCAGUCCCAGGCAAUGAAUCAUGAUUGGACCAAGCCGAGCAAGGCUGUCUCAUUCCUUUGGCCAAUGACUCAUCCAGAGGAAACAUGUGACACAGUUCUGACCAAUGACGAGUAGGGAGAGUCCGCCAGGGUCUCUGAGAAAGCAUUUCUUCCCUCAUAGAGAAAGAGCUGCACAACAAGCCCUUUUGUCUCCUUUUCAAGCGGUUUUCGAGGCUCAUUUUGACCACGCAUGAUUUUUGCUUUAUGCUCCAUCUAUGCAACUAUCACUGUGUAUACUGAGUAGAAAAGUGAGUCCCUCAAAAGACCCAGAACCUCAGAAUGUGACCUUAUUUCAAAACAGGAGCUCCACAGGUAUAAUCAUGUUAGCAUAAGGUCCUCCUAGAUAAGGGUGCUUCCUAAUCCAAUGACUGAUGUUCUUCUAAGAAGACAGAAAAACAGGCUUGGUGUGGAGGCUCAUACCUGUGAUCCCAGCACCGUGGGAGGCUAAGGCAGGAGGAUGGCUUGAGCGCAGGAGUUUGAGACCAUCCUGGGCAACAGUGUGAGACAUCAUCUCUGCAAAAAUGUUUAAAAAUAGUAGAGUGUGGUGGUGCGUGCUUGUGGUCCUAGCUACUCAGGAGGCUGACAUGAGAGGAUUGUUGAAGCCUAGGAUAUCAAGGCUACAGUGAGUCAUGUUCAUGCCACUGCACUCCAGCCUGGGCAACAGAGCAAGACCCUGUCUCAACAGAAAAAAAAAAAAAA
rnacentral:lncRNA from 1 species